rnacentral:rRNA from 1 species
GACAGAGGGGCAAGCGUUGCUCGGAAUUACUGGGCGUAAAGGGCGCGUAGGCGGGAUGGCAAGUCGGUCGUGAAAUCCCUCGGCUCAACUGAGGAUCGUCGAUCGAUACUGCCGUUCUUGAGGAUUGCAGAGGAGACUGGAAUUCCCGGUGUAGCGGUGAAAUGUGUAGAUAUCUGGAGGAACACCGGUGGCGAAGGCGGCAUCCUGGACCAACACUGACGCUGAGGAGCGAAAGCCAGGGGAGCAAACGGG